GUGAAUCAUCGAAUCUUUGAACGCAAAUUGCACUUUCUGGUAUUCCGGAAAGUAUGCCUGUUUGAGGGUCAGUUAAAUAAAAAUCGGAGUAGGUGAUGCUUUUCGAGGUGACGCGUCGGAAUGGAGUUGUCUUACUUACGGAUAAGUGACUUAAAAAAUAGCAUGAAUUGGGAACGUAUAUAAAUUACUUACGUACGAUUGUGAUAAAGUAUAUUUUAUUAGGUUAUGUUAUUAUCAUGUUAAGCACCUAUAGUAUUACAAUUAAUGA
rnacentral:misc_RNA from 1 species